CCUGUCCUGUCUCACAGACAGACCUGCUGCUUCUGACCCUUAAAUUCCCUCAUCUUGGUCUCCAACUCUACAGUUUACACAUGAAGACCACUCAUCAAUACAUCAGCUGGGAGGGAGUGAUUUCCAAUAGUGAAAGAGCACGGUGCUUCUGGCUUUGAAGGCGAUGGCAAGCACAGGUAUUUUUUUCAAAAAAAGAGAUACAUGUAAAGAUGUUAAAAGCUAGAAAAAAAUACCGCAAGAAUCUUCUCAACCCAUGCACCUUUCUUUCUUCUGCUAGAGGACCAGAAGAUAACACUGGAAGUUGUUCCUCAGGCAAGGCUGGAAGCUUGUGCAAAUGCCCACGAUUGUCAUCUCUUCUAUCCAUGUGAGCAGAUAUCACCCUGAUGAUCAUACUUGUUAUGCAAUCUUGUUCUUGACCUCGGCAGAGAGUUGGUAGGAAGGACUCUUGUUGAAGUGUUGUCAUGAUGGUUAUGACUACCACAAGGGGCUGUGCGUGAGAG
rnacentral:lncRNA from 1 species